UAGAUAAACUGGAUGGCUGCUUGAUAAUUUUUAAGGUUAUCAAGAGGAAAGUCCGAACACUCCCUUGAAAACAAGGAGCAUAAUAGCGGGUAAUGCCCGUCGCCAAAAAUUUUGUUCUUUUUGGACAAAACUGGCAGAGGUGCGAACAGAGACGCUAAAGCUUGCAAAAGCUGAGGCGCCCUCCUAAGCUUUACGCGCAGGGAGGGCGAGCGUGGUUAUAUAAAGUGAAGGCCACGGUGAAACGGCUAAAUCCUUAUUUGAGUGCAAGACCAAAUUUUGGUAGGUCGUUAGAGUUUAAUGGCAACAUUAAUCCUAGAUAAAUAGUCAUCCCGUUUUUGUAAAAUUAACGGAACAGAAUUCGGCUUAUAGGUUUAUCUAAAAU
rnacentral:RNase_P_RNA from 2 species